rnacentral:rRNA from 1 species
CCUACGGGGGGCAGCAGUGGGGAAUAUUGGGCAAUGGGCGCAAGCCUGACCCAGCAACGCCGCGUGAAGGAAGAAGGCUUUCGGGUUGUAAACUUCUUUUCUCAGGGACGAAGAAAGUGACGGUACCUGAGGAAUAAGCCACGGCUAACUACGGGCCAGCAGCCGCGGUAAUACGUAGGUGGCAAGCGUUCUCCGGAUUUAUUGGGUGGAAAGGGCGUGUAGGCGGGAGGGCAAGUCAGAUGUGAAAACUCAGGGCUCAACCCUGAGCCUGCAUUUGAAACUGUGUUUCUUGAGUGCUUGAGAGGCAAUCGGAAUGCCGUGUGUAGCGGUGAAAUGCGUAGAUAUACGGAGGAACACCAGUGGCGAAGGCGGAUUGCUGGACAGUAACUGACGCUGAGGCGCGAAAGCGUGGGGAGCAAACAGGAUUAGAUACCCGGGUAGUC